AAGUCGUAACAAGGUUUCCGUAGGUGAACCUGCGGAAGGAUCAUUACUAGAUCGCUCACCAUUUCUCGUGGUUUGAGCAAGAUCCAACCACCCUUGUCAACCGUUAACGUCUUUGGUAACUCAUGUCCCUUUGCUGGCAAGUCUGCCCGGUAUUUGGACGGCCCAGCGGUCCUUCGAAAGUAGUUUUGGAGGACCUUUUUGGGGGGGUUACCGACGGCCAAGGGCGUACCUAAUUUUAAGGGCGUCCUCUUUGGUCUUGUCAAACCCUUUUUUUUAUAAUAUUUUUACUGACUGAGACAAAAAUACAAUUACGAUUGUAUAUAAUAAUAUGAAAACAACUUUUGGCAACGGAUCUCUUGGCUCUC
rnacentral:misc_RNA from 1 species